rnacentral:tRNA from 1 species
UCCAUUUUGGCAGACACUUAAAUGCAAAAGACUUAGAAUCUUACCAACUCCAAUA